rnacentral:rRNA from 1 species
CUACGGGGGGCAGCAGUGGGGAAUAUUGGGCAAUGGGCGCAAGCCUGACCCAGCAACGCCGCGUGAAGGAAGAAGGCUUUCGGGUUGUAAACUUCUUUUGUCAGGGACGCAGCAAGUGACGGUACCUGACGAAUAAGCCACGGCUAACUACGUGCCAGUAGCCGCGGUAAUACGUAGGUGGCAAGCGUUAUCCGGAUUUACUGGGUGUAAAGGUCGGGUAGGCGGGACUGCAAGUCAGAUGUGAAAACCACGGGCUAAACCUGUGGCCUGCAUUUGAAACUGUAGUUCUUGAGUACUGGAGAGGCAGACGGAAUUCCUAGUGUAGCGGUGAAAUGCGUAGAUAUUAGGAGGAACACCAGUGGCGAAGGCGGUCUGCUGGACAGCAACUGACGCUGAGGCGCGAAAGCGUGGGGAGCAAACAGGAUUAGAUACCCUAGUAGUC